UGCCAAUAAAGAAAUCAAACGAAAUGUAACCUAAACAAAAAUUAAUACUCUGGUAACAAGUAGAUCGAACUAUAAAAUAUUGAGAAUACACACAGGAUCAAGGAGAGAGCAUUGAAGUGAGAAAAACUAGGACAAGGAGAGAUUUCCCAAAGUUCUAAACAGUUCCCAGGUUCUCAUUGCUGGUAUUGGAAUAUUCCAGAUAGUUACACGAGGGGUAGGUCAAGUAGAUCAAACUACGUUAUUUUGCAGCAUUCUUUAAUUUUCUUAUAGAUCAGUAACAACUUAAUUUAUCCAUCAUACAGAUAGGUAAAAUAAUGUGUGAAGCUUAAUUUAUCCAUCAUACAGAUAGGUAAAAUAAUGUGUGAAGACGUGAAUCAAAGAUUAGAAAAUAUACAAGAGUUUAGGAAUCAAAC
rnacentral:lncRNA from 1 species